rnacentral:rRNA from 1 species
GCCCGUCGCUCCUACCGAUUGGAUGACUCGGUGAAAUCACCGGAUGCUUACGAGCAGAAAGUGAUUAAAUCACGUUAUCUAGAGGAAGGAGAAGUCGUAACAAGGUAACGGUAGGUGAACCUGCCGUUGGAUCAGUUCUAGUUUUAAUAACUAACACCAACUCUU